AUACGGAGGGUCCGAGCGUUAAUCGGAAUUACUGGGCGUAAAGCGCGCGUAGGUGGAUGUAUAAGUCAGAUGUGAAAGCCCUGGGCUCAACCUAGGAACUGCAUUUGAAACUGUACGUCUAGAGUAUGGUAGAGGUGAGUGGAAUUUCAGGUGUAGCGGUGAAAUGCGUAGAGAUCUGAAGGAACAUCAGUGGCGAAGGCGACUCACUGGGCCAUUACUGACACUGAGGUGCGAAAGCGUGGGUAGCAAACAGGAUUAGAUACCCGAGUAGUCC
rnacentral:rRNA from 1 species